ensembl:lncRNA
GUUCAGCGGAUGUUGCUAAGGAAUAUUGCAGCGCUCGUUGAGUCGGACAGAGGAAAAUGUGUGCCUUCUGUGCUUGCAAGCUGCUGCUGGAUACGUUCGUGGGAAAUUAGCCGUCUGCAUUUUACAGAUCCUGCGUGUAAAUUUCCCGGGAGGCCUGGCCUGAGUGUUCUCGCUGUGCCUUACCAAAUCGUGGACCAUGAUGGAGCGACGAAGAGCCUUAACUAUUCCUUUUACUGUUGACAAAGAUAACCUGAUGGAAAACCCACUCAGAAUCCCCAUGACAUGUCUUUCACCAGACUGUGGAAAGUUAGAAAGACAGGUACACAGCAAUGUCUCUGCUUACUGUCUUACCCCAUCACCACUUGUUAUGGUGGUAAAAUGGUAUUUCAGG